UCUCCGUAGGUGAACCUGCGGAGGGAUCAUUACUGAGUGAGGGCUCCGGCCCGACCUCCAACCCCAUGUGAACCGAAACCUGUUGCUUCGGGGGCGACCCUGCCUUCGUGCGAGGCGCCCCCGGAGGCUCAUCAAACCCUGCAUCUUUGCGUCGGAGUCUUAAUGAAUUUAAACAAAACUUUUAACAACGGAUCUCUUGGUUCUGGCAUCGAUGAAGAACGCCAGC
rnacentral:misc_RNA from 1 species